UACGUAGGUGGCAAGCGUUGUCCGGAUUUAUUGGGUUUAAAGGGUGCGUAGGCGGUUCUAUAAGUCAGGUGGUGAAAUCCGGCAGCUCAACUGUCGAUGUGCCAUUGAUACUGCAGAACUUGAGUACAGACGAGGUAGGCGGAAUUGACGGUGUAGCGGUGAAAUGCUUAGAUAUCGUCAAGAACACCGAUAGCGAAGGCAGCUUACUAGACUGUAACUGACGCUGAUGCACGAAAGUGUGGGGAUCAAACAGG
rnacentral:rRNA from 1 species